UGGGGCGUCGCCAAGUCGGUAAGGCACGGGAUUUUGAUUCCCGCAUUCGAAGGUUCGAGUCCUUCCGCCCCAGCCA
rnacentral:tRNA from 1 species